AUAACCGUUAGCAAUGGAAAAAGGCUGCCCCACUUCUCAGGAAAUCUGAUUUUGAGGCCCUUUGAUAACCCUAGCAAUGGAAAAGGGCUCGUGCCAUGAACACUUGGUCCCUCACUCCUGGCCCUUUCUUUCUUUCUUUUCUCUUUAUGCACGGCCCACAUUCAAUCUUCAGCUUCCCCCCUCCCUCACACAUGCUCGUACGAAACAGAGAAGACAAAGGGAAGAGGAGAAAAAAGGAACUUCGGGGGAUAACGACGGGAGGAGCAGAAGGCUCAGAAACAGGAGGGCGUCGCGUGACGCCGAAGAUGUCAGAGGUGCAGGAUGGUCCCUAAGAAAAGAAGCACUCUUCAGGGAUAAAGAGGGAGAGACCGAGAGAGUUUGAGAGGAGAUUGAGGUGAAAAAGAGAGAUCUUGAGGGUGAGAAAGGAAGAGAGAACCUCACCCGCUCGCCGGAGGGCCGCCCGAGUCGCCGUCGGUCCCGCCGAGCUUCCAGUCGCCGCGCUUCGUCCCGGUCGGUCACGAACCAGAGUUCUAUCGCGAGCCAAGACGAAUUUUUGACGAGAUACGGUUUCUUAGAUCCUCAUACUCCAUGUUCAAGCCAAAAAUCGCACCAAAUUUCAAUCUGAAGCCCCUGCUCGAACUCGCCCACCACCUGUUUGACAAAAUGUCCAAGUGAUACUCCGAGUCCGUUUUUGCAAAACCGAUGCCCUAAAGUUUUGUUAUAUGCUUGAAUGGUUCUAGUGUAGUUACUGACCCCAAGCUUUCCUUGUUUUUUCAUGUGUUUGUAUGGCAUAUUCUGUUGUUCCCCGAUGUCGGCCAUGGACUUGCAUACGAGUCGGAGUCAACAUUCGUUUUCCGGUGAUGCCUUGGGUCGAAGUCCCACCGUGACAGUGUUCUAUGCCUUAUUUUGUGUAUGUAUGCUUGUGUGUUCAGGCUUAGCGUCUAUUGUUGGGGCCGAAUGUCGGAUUGUCGGAAAGUGCGUUUGUCGCCGGUGGGGAGUUGUGACUGUUUCUCUAAGGGGCUGGUGUGGUCGCCGGAAAGUUGGCCGGCGGUGAUGGCUUAAGGCCAGCGUCCGUCGUCGACGCUGGCCGCCCGAGCCGACGGCCGGCGGUGGGCGUUCCCGGCGUAAUCCCAGUGACGGCAUGAAGACGUUCUCGGUGAAGAAGCGAAGAAGAAAGCGUUCUGGGAAGAGACGUCCAGAAGGGCACGCAAAGGGGGGAAAGAAAAAAAUAAAAAAUAAAGAGAAAAGAAACAGAAAAGAGGGAAAAUCAAAAAAAGAAAAAAAAAAUCAGAAAAGAAAUAUUUAAAGGAGGUCCCGGGCGGGUCGGAGAACCGGGUCAGGUAGUCGGGCGGAUCGGGUCAGGGGAUCCGGUCCGGAAUUUUGAUUUUAUUAAUAAAAUAUUAAAAUAUAUAAAAAAAAAA